rnacentral:rRNA from 1 species
GAGAACUUUCCAGAGAUGGAUUGGUGCCUUCGGGAACUCUGAGACAGGUGCUGCAUGGCUGUCGUCAGCUCGUGUUGUGAAAUGUUCGGGUUAAGUCCCGCAACGAGCGCAACCCUUAUCCUUUGUUGCCAGCGGUUAGGCCGGGAACUCAAAGGAGACUGCCAGUGAUAAACUGGAGGAAGGUGGGGAUGACGUCAAGUCAUCAUGGCCCUUACGAGUAGGGCUACACACGUGCUACAAUGGCGCAUACAAAGAGAAGCGACCUCGCGAGAGCAAGCGGACCUCAUAAAGUGCGUCGUAGUCCGGAUUGGAGUCUGCAACUCGACUCCAUGAAGUCGGAAUCGCUAGUAAUCGUGGAUCAGAAUGCCACGGUGAAUACGUUCCCGGGCCUUGUACACACCGCCCGUCACACCAUGGGAGUGGGUUGCAAAAGAAGUAGGUAGCUUAACCUUCGGGAGGGCGCUUACCACUUUGUGAUUCAUGACUGGGGUGAAGUCGUAACAAGGUAGGCGUAGUGCU